AGUGGCGAACGGGUGAAUACACGUUGGUACCUGCCCGAAGUGGGGAAAGGUGGGGGACACCACGGCUAAUACCCGGAUGUNAAGAGAUUAGACAUCUUUAACUANAGAUCCGGCGCCUCGUGAGGAGGCCUGCGGGCUAUCAGCUUGUUGGUGGGGUAACAGCCUACCAAGGCUAAGACGGCUAGGAGGCGUGAGAGCGCGACCCCCCACAAUGGAACUGAGAAACGGUCCAUACUCCGUACGGGAGGCAGCAGUGAGGAAUAUUGCACAAUGGGGGAAACCCUGAUGCAGCAACGCCGCGUGAACGAUGAAGGCCUUCGGGUUGUAAAGUACUUUUCUGGGGGACGAUAGUGACGGUACCUCAGGAAUAAGUCCCGGCUAACUACGUGCCAGCAGCCGCGGUAAAACGUAGGGGGCGAGCGUUAUCCGGAUUUAUUGGGCGUAAAGCGCACAGUAGGCAGCGUUGUAAGUUGGACGUGAAAGCUCCCGGUUCAACUGGGAGAGGUCGUUCAAAACUACAGUGCUCGAGGUUGGAAAAGGAGAGUAGAAUUCCCGGUGUAGUGGUGGAAUGCGUAGAUAUCGGGAGGAAUACCAGUGGCGAAAGCGAAUCUCUGGUCCA
rnacentral:rRNA from 1 species